rnacentral:ncRNA from 1 species
AACGACCGGCUGGUCACUUGCGUGUCCGGCCCACAAGUGGAGGCUCCCCGCUCCCACCUCCCGAUCCCCCGGGUCGGCAGGUCAUCGGUCAGGCUGCGCCCCGCGGUGAUAUCGCGGCGGUGCUCCCGGUCAAUGAGGAGCCCCGCCUGUGUACCGUCCGGGGCGUUUUGU